GGGUAGAUUCCAGAGCGGUCAAAUGGGGAGGACUGUAAAUCCUUUGCCUCAGGCUUCGGGGGUUCGAAUCCCUCUCUGCCCACCA
rnacentral:tRNA from 1 species